rnacentral:rRNA from 1 species
UGGGGAAUAUUGGACAAUGGGCGCAAGCCUGAUCCAGCAACGCCGCGUGGAGGAUGAAGGUCUUCGGAUCGUAAACUCCUGUCAGAUGGGACGAAGGCUUGGAGGUGAACAAUCUUCAAGUUUGACGGUACCAUCAGAGGAAGCCCCGGCUAACUCCGUGCCAGCAGCCGCGGUAAUACGGAGGGGGCGAGCGUUAUUCGGAAUUAUUGGGCGUAAAGGGCGCGUAGGCGGCCCGGUAAGUCAAAGGUGAAAUCCCUCGGCUCAACUGAGGAACUGCCUUUGAAACUGUCGGGCUUGAGGCCGGGAGAGGGUAGUGGAAUUCCCAGUGUAGCGGUGAAAUGCGUAGAUAUUGGGAGGAACACCAGUGGCGAAGGCGGCUACCUGGACCGGUACUGACGCUGAUGCGCGAAAGCGUGGGUAGCAAACAGGAUUAGAUACCCCUGUAGUCC